rnacentral:misc_RNA from 1 species
GAUGAAGAACGUAGCGAAAUGCGAUAAGUAGUGUGAAUUGCAGAAUUCAGUGAAUCAUCGAAUCUUUGAACGCACAUUGCGCCCUCUGGUAUUCCGGAGGGCAUGCCUGUUCGAGCGUCAUUAAAACUACUCAAGCUAAGGUUUUACCUUCUGCUUGGUCUUGGGUUUGAGGAUUCAAAAUCCUCUCUCCGAAAUCCAGUGGCGAAUUGUUUGAGCUGUAGACGUAGUAAAACAUUCUAUUCUACCCGUUGCAAGCGAGAAUAAUAUUCAGCCAUAACCCCCAUACUUUUCUAGUUUGACCUCGGAUCAGGUAGGGAUACCCGCUGAACUUAAGCAUAUCAAUAAGCGGAGGA